rnacentral:rRNA from 1 species
CCUACGGGGGGCAGCAGUGAGGAAUAUUGGUCAAUGGGCGCAAGCCUGAACAAGCCAAGUCGCGUGAGGGAUGACGGUCCUAUGGAUUGUAAACCUCUUUUGUCGGGGAGCAAGGCACGCCACGUGUGGCGGGAAGGAGAGUACCCGAAGAAAAGGCAUCGGCUAACUCAGGGCCAGCAGCGUCGGUAAGACGGAGGAUGCGAGCGUAAUCCGGAUUUAUUGGGGUUAAAGGGUGCGUAGGCGGAAGGUUAAGGCAGCGGUCAAAUGGCGGUGCUCAACACCGGCCUGCCGUUGAAACUGGUCUUCUUGAGUGAGCGAGAAGUAUGCGGAAUGCGUGGUGUAGCGGUGAA